UCUACAGAUGGAUACAGCACAUUGGUUCUUACUUCAGUCAGAAGAAUAGGAAACUUGGAGGCAGAUGUCAGAGUAGAUCUCCAAUUAAUCUUUCAGACAUGUCAACAGUCCUGGCAUCAGGAAAUGUUGUGAAUCAAAAGACAACAGAUCUUAUUAUAGAACAAAAGACAAAUCUAAAUGCUGCAUUACAAAAAAUUCAAGUUUUCAACAAACUGGUAGCAAAGAUGGGAUUUUCCAUGAGCAUCCAGUAGUCUUUGUCAUGACAGAUCAAAUAAUGAUGGAUAAAAAUAAAAGCUGAUUUACAUUUG